rnacentral:rRNA from 1 species
GAGUUUGAUCGUGGCUCAGGGUUAACGCUGGCGGCGCGCAUAACACAUGCAAGUCGAACGAGGGCUUAUUUCUCGCAAGAGAGAUAAGUUCCUAGCGGCGAACGGGUGAGUAACACGUGGGCAACCUUUCCUAUCGCGGGGGAUAACACCGGGAAACCGAUGCUAAUACCGCAUGUCGUCACUGGUCGCAUGGCUGGUGAAGAAAGCAGCAAUGCACGAUGGGGUGGGCCCGCGGCCUAUCAGCUAGUCGGUGGGGUAACGGCCUACCGAGGCGAUGACGGGUAGCUGGUCUGAGAGGACGGCCAGCCACACGGGGACUGAGACACGGCCCCGACUCCUACGGGAGGCAGCAGUGAGGAAUCUUGCGCAAUGGGCGAAAGCCUGACGCAGCAACGCCGCGUGCGGGAAGAAGGUCUUAGGGUUGUAAACCGCUUUCAGCAGGGACGAAGGCAAUCGGGUUAAUAGCCCGUGAGUUGACGGUACCUAGCAGAAGAAGGUCCGGCUAACUACGUGCCAGCAGCCGCCGCCGU